GACUACUUUAGAGAUUUAACCAUUGGCGUAUAUCAGCUGAAACUAUCCCCCUCUUACAUACAAGAUGUUAGAAAUGAGGAACAUGAAAUCAAUUUAGAAAUUGAUGAAACUGACCAUGACAAUAAUUUAUUAAGAUUUCGGAUUUACUCUAGAUUCAGAAACGCUACAAAGUAUCAGUUAUGGCUCCGGUACGCGGAAGACC